rnacentral:tRNA from 1 species
GGAGAGUUACCCAAGAGGCCGAAGGGGACGGUUUGCUAAACCGUUAGUAUGCGAAUAGCGUAGCGAGGGUUCGAAUCCCUCACUCUCCG